rnacentral:piRNA from 1 species
UUCACGUUUCCCAUGGUGUUUGCUGUUGAU